GGCGCUAUAGCCAAGUGGUUACGGCGACAGAUUAGAACUUCUUGCUUCAAUCUGUUCCUCUUUGAGGGCGCAGGUUCGAAUCCUGCUGGCGUCG